rnacentral:lncRNA from 1 species
GCACAAGAGGUUGCAGAAGGAGUCAGGUAGUUGGAGAACAAUUCUGCCUACCCCAGUAACUAAGAAGCUGGCAACAGAAGUAUGCUUCCCUACUGCACAUGUAUAUAUCAGUGUCCAAGGUUAAGAAAACCACAUUUGUAUUUUUUGGCAGGUACAAUACAUUUUAAAUGAAAAAAACAUUUAGAAUGUUUUCUUUUCAAAAUGAUUGUACUGAUAGAAGGAAGUAUCUAACAAUCUGUUCAUUAUUAAUUGCAUGUUUUCUGAUAUGGUUAAUUAUUUAGGCUUGAUGUAAUCACUCAGCUGGUUAAGACUGCUUACUGAUACAAAGUUAAAGAUAGGAU